rnacentral:rRNA from 1 species
GUCGCUCCUACCGAUUGAGUGAUCCGGUGAAUUAUUCGGACUGACGCAGUGCUCAGCUUCUGGACGCUGCGUUGGAAAGUUUCAUGAACCUUAUCACUUAGAGGAAGGAGAAGUCGUAACAAGGUUUCCGU